UACUAAAAGUACUACAACCAUGACUUCUAGUACUACUACUGUCAUAACUAAUUUUAUAGCUUACAACCUUGAUAUUUAGCAACGUCGGUAUGGGUAACGGAGGACUUUUUGUGUUAGUUCUUAUCUAGGAAUUUAUAUAAAUGGUCAUGACCAAAAAUGAUAAAACCAAACACAACUGUAGUGUGGUUAUCAACUUACUGUAUGAACUGAUAACAUAUUUGCAUAACAUUUAACUUAUCUCGAUCUAUAUCUAAGACGCGUAAAAUAUCAAUGUGUUACACAUACCUCUAGUAAGUGUGCUCGGAUGUAAACAUAAAAGAAUGUAUGAAAAGAUGGCCAACUAAUCCAUAAUAAGUUAACUUACUCAUUCACAUGAGCAACGGGUCCACUGAAUCUAUAGUUAUCGUCGUGGUUGCAAUACUAUUUCUCUUUUCAUUGAUGGGAUAUUGUUGUAUUAAGGCAGCAUGUGCACGCAGAGCUUCCUCGGAUCUUAACACAAGUGAAGAAACGUCAGUUUGGACCCUACCUCCAGCAUAUUCUGAUUUAUCUCAGCACAUCCCUCCAUCUUACAGUCAGGCUUGUGUAAUUGAAUAUACAAGAUCAGAAGACAACAUUGUUGAUGGACAGAUAAACCCUAGUUUUGAGGUUCAACCUGGUGAUACCGAAUCAUAUUCGAGUUCAAGUACGAACAAUGUUAUUAAUUUUCCAGAUGUACAGGAAAAUCAACAAGAGAAUUUGUGAAAUACAUUUAUAGUGUUCUCAAUACAUCUUGGUUAUUGCAAAAACUUCACAAUCAUUUGUCUAACCUGGAGACAGAGAGAACCGAGGAUUGAAGAAGAUAAACUCCACAGGAAGAAAAGAACAAUACUCAAAUGAUCUUCGUAUAAAAUGUAUGAUAGUUUAUCAACACAAAGGAACCUGAAAGUCGCAACCAAAAUUGUUCAAAGUCAAAUUCGUUUGAGGACGUUGGUACGUAAUAUUUCUACAGAAACUUAAUAAAAUAUGGAAUUUUACAAGCAAAAUAUUUAUCUUAUUUAUUUAAAUAAUGCUGGUAACGAAGAGCUGUAAUCAUUGUUCAAAAGAAGAGGCACCAUU